AAAAGUUAACUCAUCGAUUUGGGUUUUCUUAACUCAUAUCAACCUUGUGUGCACCUAAACUUGUAACUGGCGAAAGCUAAGCUCUGAGGUUAGGGUGGGUCUAAGUUUUUGAUUAGUAGAGGUCGUCAGAUCUCGAAAGUUAGGCUAAGAUCUGACCUAAGCUCUGAGGUUACUUCGCCAACAGUUAAACCUUAGAAAUUUUGUUAGUAACUUAAGUUAAUAAAACUUAAAUAAGUAA
rnacentral:misc_RNA from 1 species